UACGUAGGGCGCAAGCGUUGUCCGGAAUUAUUGGGCGUAAAGAGCUCGUAGGCGGCUUGUCACGUCGGAUGUGAAAGCCCGGGGCUUAACCCCGGGUCUGCAUUCGAUACGGGCAGGCUAGAGUGUGGUAGGGGAGAUCGGAAUUCCUGGUGUAGCGGUGAAAUGCGCAGAUAUCAGGAGGAACACCGGUGGCGAAGGCGGAUCUCUGGGCCAUUACUGACGCUGAGGUGCGAAAGCGUGGGGAGCAAACAGG
rnacentral:rRNA from 1 species